AAAAUUAAUGUAAGGGGUUGAGUUGUGAGUGUAGAAGAUGAAAGGAUUAGGAUAAAAUGAAAUGAGAAGAAAGUUGUGGGUGGUUUUUUGAGAAGAGGUGUUUGUGUGAGUUUGGGUUUAGGUUUAAAGAUAAAGCUUGAGUACGAAUUUGGAAGAAUUUUUAGGGGCUGCUAGAUUGCGAAAAUGAGGGGGAAAGGUGUUCUAUUUAUAGGGCAAGCACAUGGGUUGGUGUGUGUGAAAGUUGGAGUUCACUUGUGUAAAAAAACGUUAUUGU
rnacentral:lncRNA from 1 species